UUAUAUGCAAACCCUAUAAUUUUGCAUGACAAUAUUAAUAUCUUUGCCAAAGGAGAAUUGCCCUGCCAUUCUUCUCCUCAGUCACUCAGCCUCAAAGAUUGCGCAGAUGGUCAACCUAACAAGUUAGUUGUACGUAAAGGCGGAUUCAAGAUUUGAACUUUAUGGGUUAGGAUUUGGGAUUAUAUCACAACUCAAUUGAUUUAUCAGGUUCGAUUAUUAUUUGUAUUUCGUUGAUGAAUUUUAAUACAUACAGUUUCUGAGCUAAAUAUAUUGGGUUCAAUGGAUCAAUCCUUAACUUAUGCCGAAUUUACGCCUCAUUGCACACACUACUUUCAAUAGCAUGCUCCAUAGAUGCCCAAUCCAACCUUCUGUUUCCACGUUAACAUUAUUUUUCUUUGGGUAUAUUUCUCUUUUAUCGUCUAAUUUAUCGUUGUCCAAUAUUUGCUUUAGUAGCUUCCAUAUGUCCACUUGUUAUUUCAAUCCUAACAAGUACUUCAUUCUGCCAGCUUCAAAGAUGCUUCCUAAGAGGGACACUGCUG
rnacentral:lncRNA from 1 species